AGGGCAGACGGUGAAUGCCUUGGCUCUCGGAGGCGACGAAGGACGUGAUAAGCUGCGAAAAGCCCGGUUGAGGUGCAAAUAACCCUUGACGCCGGGAUGUCCGAAUGGGGAAACCCGAUUGGUAGAAGACCAAUCACAUCGAAAGAUGAGCGAACGUGGGGAACUGAAACAUCUAAGUACCCAUAGGAAGAGAAAAUAACAAUGAUUGCGUAAGUAGUGGCGAGCGAACGCGCAAAAGCCCAAACCAUAGAUGUUUUGGCAUCAUAUGGGGUUGUAGGAUCGCAAUGUGGCAAGAAACAAAGGAAGUGGAACCCGCUGGAAAGAGGACCAUAGAGGGUGAAAGUCCCGUACACGAAUCUUUUGUAAAGCCUAGCGAUAUCCUGAGUAAGUCGGGACACGUGAAAUCCUGACCGAAUCUGCGGGGACCAUCCCGUAAGGCUAAAUACUCCCGAGAGACCGAUAGUGAACCAGUACCGUGAGGGAAAGGUGAAAAGAACCUCGAAUAGAGGAGUGAAAUAGACCCUGAACCCGUCUGCCUACAAGCGGUCGGAGCAUCUUUAAGGUGUGACGGCGUGCCUUUUGCAUAAUGAACCUGCGAGUUGUUUUUUUUGGCAAGGUUAAGCAUCAGUAGGUGCGUAGCCGAAGCGAAAGCGAGUCUGAAUAGGGCGCCUAAGUCAAAAGGAGCAGACGCGAAACCAAGUGAUCUACCGAUGGCCAGGCUGAAGGUUGGGUAACACCAACUGGAGGGCCGAAUGGAUAUACGUUGAAAAGUGUUCCAAUGAGCUGUGGGUAGGGGUGAAAGGCUAAUCAAACUUGGAGAUAGCUCGUACUCCCCGAAAUGCAUUUAGGUGCAGCCUCGGGUAAGGUACUGAUGAGAGGUAGAGCGACUGAUUGGAUGCGAGGGCUUCACCGCCUAUCAAGUCCGGCCAAACUCCGAAUGCUCAUCAGCAACAUCCCGGGAGUGAGGGCAUGGGUGCUAAGGUCCAUGUCCGAGAGGAGAAGAAUCCAGAUCACCGGCUAAGGUCCCCAAAUAGCAGCUAAGUUGCAUUAACGAAGUCCGACCGCAGCGACAGCCAGGAUGUUGGCUUGGAAGCAGCCAUUCAUUUAAAGAGUGCGUAACAGCUCACUGGUCGAGGGGUCGGGCAUGGAUAAUAAUCGGGCAUAAGCUGUUUACCGAAGCUGUGAGAUCGAAAAGAUCGGUAGGGGAGCAUUCCAUUAUCAGCGUUGAAGAUGAGGGGUGACCCUUGUUGGAGCGGAUGGAAAAGCAAAUGCAGGUAUAAGUAACGAUAAAGGGGGUGAAAAACCUCCUCGCCGAAAGACCAAGGGUUCCUGAUCAACGCUAAUCGGAUCAGGGUUAGUCGGGACCUAAGGCUAAGCCGAAGGGCGAUGCCGAUGGAAGAACCGGUUAAUAUUCCGGUACUGCUUUGUGGAGUGAUGUGGAGACGGAGAAGUGACAGCUCGGCCAUCUGACGGAAUAGGUGGUUGAAGGGUGUAGACGUUGAUUGUUGUAGGCAAAUCCGCAACAAGAGUCGAACCUGAAAGUAUGCAGCGUACUUGUACAAUGUAAUAAGAGCGUAAUCAGGCUCCCAAGAAAACCCGCUAAACAUAUCUACAAAGCACCCGUACUCGAAACGGACACACGUGGUCGGGUUGAAAAUACUAAGGCGCUCGAGUGAUUCACGGUUAAGGAACUAGGCAAAAUGGUCCUGUAACUUCGGGAUAAAGGACGCCAAUAGCAAUAUUGGUCGCAGAGAAUAGGCCCAGGCGACUGUUUAACAAAAACACAUGACUAUGCGAAAUAAACGGCGGCCGUAACUAUAACGGUCCUAAGGUAGCGAAAUUCCUUGUCGGGUAAGUUCCGACCUGCACGAAUGGUGUAACGAUCUGGGCACUGUCUCAACUGUGAGCUCGGUGAAAUUGUAGUAUCGGUGAAGAUGCCGAUUACCCGCGAUGGGACGAAAAGACCCCGUGAACCUUUACUAUAGCUUUACAUUGAAAUUGGGCAUGCGAUGUGUAGGAUAGGCCGGAGGCUGAGAGACGGUGACGCCAGUCAUCGUGGAGCCGCUGUUGAAAUACGGCCCUUUGUGUGUUUGGUUUCUAACUCCCGGGAAAGGGAGGACGGUGUAUGGUGGGUAGUUUGACUGGGGUGGUCGCCUCCAAAAGCGUAACGGAGGCUUCUAAAGGUACCCUCAGACCGAUUGGUAACCGGUCGUAGAGUGUAAUGGCAUAAGGGUGCUUGACUGAGAGACCUACAAGUCGAUCAGGUAGGAAACUAGAGCAUAGUGAUCCGGUGGUUCCGUAUGGAAGGGCCAUCGCUCAAAGGAUAAAAGGUACUCCGGGGAUAACAGGCUGAUCGCCGCCAAGAGCUCAUAUCGACGCGGCGGUUUGGCACCUCGAUGUCGGCUCGUCACAUCCUGGGGCUGGAGAAGGUCCCAAGGGUUGGGCUGUUCGCCCAUUAAAGUGGCACGCGAGCUGGGUU
rnacentral:rRNA from 1 species